AUGUAGGGCGAUCUGUCUUUAAGUAGGGAUAAAUUACUCUAAAAGAAAUGAAUCCUAGAUAGUUUUCCCUUCAAGUCAAGCGUCUUGU
rnacentral:pre_miRNA from 1 species